rnacentral:rRNA from 1 species
AUUGAACGCUGGCGGCAGGCUUAACACAUGCAAGUCGAGCGGGGGAGGUUGCUUCGGUAACUGACCUAGCGGCGGACGGGUGAGUAAUGCUUAGGAAUCUGCCUAUUAGUGGGGGACAACAUUCCGAAAGGGAUGCUAAUACCGCAUACGCCCUACGGGGGAAAGCAGGGGAUCUUCGGACCUUGCGCUAAUAGAUGAGCCUAAGUCGGAUUAGCUAGUUGGUGGGGUAAAGGCCUACCAAGGCGACGAUCUGUAGCGGGUCUGAGAGGAUGAUCGGCCACACUGGGAAUGGGACACGGCCCAGACUCCUACGGGAGGCAGCAGUGGUGAAUAUUGGACAAUGGGCGGAAGCCUGAUCCAGCCAUGCCGCGUGUGUGAAGAAGGCCUUUUGGUUGUAAAGCACUUUAAGCGAGGAGGAGGCUCUUAAGGUUAAUACCCUUGAUGAGUGGACGUUACUCGCAGAAUAAGCACCGGCUAACUCUGUGCCAGCCGCCGCCGUAAUAC